CCUGGUGGCUCAGACAGUAAAGAAUCUGCCUGCAAUGCAGAAGAUCCAGGUUUGAUUCCUGGGUCAGGA
rnacentral:tRNA from 1 species